rnacentral:tRNA from 1 species
GGAGAGAUGGCUGAGUGGACUAAAGCGGCGGAUUGCUAAUCCGUUGUACAAUUUUUUUUACCG